GAUGAAGAACGUAGCGAAAUGCGAUAAGUAAUGUGAAUUGCAGAAUUCAGUGAAUCAUCGAGUCUUUGAACGCACAUUGCGCCCCCUGGUAUUCCGGGGGGCAUGCCUGUCCGAGCGUCAUUGCUGCCCUCAAGCACGGCUUGUGUGUUGGGCCUCCGUCCUCCUCCCGGGGGACGGGCCCGAAAGGCAGCGGCGGCACCGCGUCCGGUCCUCGAGCGUAUGGGGCUUCGUCACCCGCUCUUGUAGGCCCGGCCGGCGCUUGCCGACACAUCAAUCUUUUUUCCAGGUUGACCUCGGAUCAGGUAGGGAUACCCGCUGAACUUAAGCAUAUCAUAAGCGGAGGA
rnacentral:misc_RNA from 1 species